GCAGCUUUCUGCCUUCUGAGAAGGUGAUUGCAAAGACAAAUGGAAGCGCAAGCAGGUAGGAGAAGCAUCCCAUGGUCUUCAUCAUGCUGUUGCCCGGACAAGCUGAAUGCCUGCUUAAAAGAAAGGGAGAUGCUAAAGAAACUUGAACAGUACAAAUUCAACGUGGCUGGAAGGAUGAGUAGUCAUGGGACGUCACCUGGGUGGUGAAGGCGGGAUCCAGAAGCUGGUAUCAAGGUCCAAAGGCAAGAAACUGGAGUUUUUAGGGGUCCAAAUCAGGACUGGAGAACCCAAAACAAUGCCAAGUCAGGAGACAUCAUCAGGUCUGAGUGAAGAUUUCCCAGUGGCUAGAAGCCAAGCACAGUGGUCUUUACCUUGACAGCCCCACUGCCAUCUGCUCUCCGUUUAAAAUGGCCUGGGGCUGGAUCCUUCCCAGCUGGGCUAAGGCUCAUGAUAAUGGGAUGCAUAUUUCAAAUAGAUUUAAUAACUGGCUAACUGAUAAAUCUCAAAACGUAACCAACAUGGGGAAGCAGCAUCAAAUGAGCAAUGACACUAGUGAAGUACAGCAGGGAUUAAUUCUUAGCAUUAUGCUAUAUAUAGCAUUUUGUACCAAUAACCUGCAAAAAAACCCACAUGGCUAUAGGUCAAGUUUGCAGACAACUCACACAGAUUAGGGAAAUGGUAACUAGUGAUGACAAGGGGUCAUAUCUUCAGGGUAAACUGGACCAUUUGGCAAGCUGCUGAAAACAAAGUUGUUUGAUCAAUGUGAGGUCAUACACCUAGGGACAAAGAGUAUAGGUCAUAGGCUCUAGUGCAAAGUUGUGGCCAAUCUACACAUACCAAGGAGGCAGAGAAAAGGUCUGUUCCCUCUGAAUCAGGCACUGGUGUGACUGCUACAAGAAUGCUCUGUCCACAACUUCAAGAAGGAUGUUAAAAAUUGAGAAGAGCCACGAAAAUGAUUGCAGGCCUGGAAAACAUACUAUACAGCAAAAUGUCCAAGCGCUCAAUCUACCUGUCUUCUGAAAUCAAAGGGUAAGGGCAACUUGAUCCCUGUCUACAAACAUCUCUGGUAACAGAGCGUUCUGCAGUCCAGCAGACAAAGGUAUAACAAGCUGCUAAACCUCAAAUUUAAAACCGGAUAAAUUCAGAUUAGAAAUAAGGCAUGUUUCUUUAAAAAUGAGGAGCAAUAAUGAUUGGACUGCAAUAGAUCCUCCACUGCUCAAAUUUUACAGCAAAAUUGGAUUUUUUUUCUGAAAUACAUGUUCUAGUUCAAACCUGACUAUUGAACUUGAUGCAGGAAUUAAUUCAGGGAAGGUCUAUGGUGUUCAUUAUGCAGAAAGUCCAGUUAGAAAUUCAUGAUCUUAAAAUAUAUGGAAAUGAUGGCUCUAGAGAACAACUCUUGAAAGCAAUAAAGUUGUAUUAAUUACGGUAUAAAUAAAACAGGAACCAAAUGUCGUUGCUAAUAAAGUGAAUGUUAACUA